CUUCUAGCGGUAACAUCAAUCUAAAUGUUGAUUGUUAUUGGUGGUUGGUAUGGAAAUUAUUCCUGUAGGUUUUUACAUUUGAACUCAGCUAUUCUUAACAGCUCUAGUUUCUUUGGAGUGGUUUUGUACUCCUAGUGAAGGAUAGAUCUCUGAUAACGUAGCUGUUAAAUUUGCUGGCUUCCUGGUGGGGUUUUGGCCAUAUCUGUUUAAGUAUAAAUGGUUACAGUUACUGCUGUCAACAGUAAUUGUGAACUCUUGAAAUAGAAUGUGUCAGCUGGUUGAAAUUCUUAUCUGCCUAACUAAUCUGUGAUACAAAAUUUUAAAAGGUAUAGAUUUGUAUAAAAUUGGAAGACUGCUGUCAGUUACAUUUUCCAACUAAUCUUUAGGAAAAUGAGCCAGUCCCAGAUGCUCUCUGAAAAUCUAUAGCAAUAUAUAAUAUUUUUAUUUUCACCACUGAAGGAGGCAUUUGAAGGAUGGUAUUAGUUUGACUGGCAUCCACUUAAUUUGCAGUGCGACAAAAGUAAUAUUUUAGAAAUUAAAGCCUUAUUUAACAGUCCACUGUCAUGUCAAAUUUAGCCCAGGAUGUAGGUUUUGUGUAAAAAAGAGUGCUGCUUAUUUUCUCCCAUUCAUUUCAAACAGAAGUGGUGCUUGAGGUCCCCUUCCACUUUCAGGUUUUGGGAGGGUCGUUCCAUGUUUUGUCACUAGGGGACUGGAAACAGUAUUCCAUAGAUCUUUAUCUUACAGCAGGGGUUCUCAAACUGGGAAUCAGGACCCCUCAGGGGGUCGCGAGGUAAUUACAUGUGGGGUCACAAGAUGUCAGCUUCCACCACAAACCCCGCUUUGCCUCCAGCAUUUAUAAUGGUGUUAAAUAUAUUUAAAAGUGUUUUUAAUUUAUAAGGGGGGGUUGCAGUCAGAGGCUUGCUGUGUGAAAGGAGUCACCAGUACAAAAGUUUGAGAAUCACUGUUUUACAGGGCGUGGAAGCAACGUUGGAGAAACAGAAAAAGAAUAAAAAUUCUCACAUAGAUUAUUGUUAGCUGGGUAAUUGUCCACUAAACUCAUGGCAUAGGCACGGACAACACUAAUGAAAUAAAAUGCUCAAAAUUCUCCCUAGUCACUCUUAAUAUGUAAAAGAUAGUAAGACAUCCCUUGGAGAUGAAGGUGAAACACCUAACUGAAGAAGUGUAGGGAGAACGGCUGUACUCUCUCCCAAGUACCCAGGCUGCAGUGUCACACUUUACACCAUUUGGAACUCAUUUUUUAGUGUAAAAGCUAAACUGAGAGCUGUUGUAGGUUCUCUAUUUAAUUUUUAUUUACAUUUUAAAAAAUUAAAUAAAAAUACUGCUGGCUGAGAAACUGCUCCUGAGAGGGCAAUUAGGCUUCUGGGAAUGGGCUGAGAGGGAGAAACAACCUGUCCCUGUUCUGGGGAGGUAAAAUGGGAUGCUGUGUUCCCAGCACCUCCUCUGCAGCCCCAGAAUGCUGGGCCUGGCACCUUCUGUGUAAAAGGGUAGUAUGCUGAGUUGCAGCAGCUCUUGUCUCUCCCAUGCUUCAUCAGCGGGCUUGCUGGCUGGCUGUGUGUCAGGUACUAAAGCUGGUUGGGAAUUUUCCAUCAAAAUAUUUUUUCAAUGGAAAAUGCAAGUUUCUGCAAAAUCAAAGGUUUUUGGCUAGAUGCUUAUUUCCCUGAUGAAAAGUCAAAAUGCAGUAUUUCUCCAUUUGGGUCAGUCAGCUGAAUCCAAAUUGAAAUAUUUAGUUUUGGGUCAGUUCCAUAUUCAUCUGUGUCUGCAUCAGAUGCUGCAGUGCCUCAUGGGCAUUGUAGUGUGGAUGCCUCAGGCUCCCAUUCUUCUCCAUAGGCUAGGCAGGGAGCACAGCCCAUCUCCAAUGAUGCAUCAUGGACUCUCCAUAGGUUGAACUGACGCUCUGUAUCAUGGGAGUCGUAGGGUCAUAGUGUAUCACGUGAAAUGUAUGGCAAGGGAGCCCAGCCAUAGAGGAAAAUGGGAAUACGAGGCACUAUGGCAGCUCAGGGGACGUAGAUGAAUGUUAGACUGAGCCAAAAUGAAAUCUGUCAGUUUGGGAAUGUCUAAACGCAGCUUCAGUUCUAAAACUCAGAAUUUUCUAUCCACAAAAGAAUUUGACAUUUCAGAUUUGGAACAAAAACAAAUUUCAAAAUAUUGGAAUUUUCUGAAAAAUUCUGACUUUCAAAAAGCUCUACCUGGUAUGCUGCAAGGGAACUUGCACUGACUGCCAUGCAUCUCACGUGACACUAAUGCAUGCACAUUCCCACAGUCCCCAGGCUAAGGGCUUGUCUAUGUAUGGAGUUAUUCAGGAAUAGCCACUGCACUUUAAAUACACACCUCACUUUAAUAUGAAUUCACUUUCAAAUGUAGACGAGCUCUAAAUGUCAUGCAACUUCAGUUCAAGACCUCCAGAAGCUUCUGUGGUGCCUUUUGGACCUGAGCAAGCAAGGAGGAGCCAAGAAGAGUAGGCCAGCAGUGGUGGCAGCAGGAAGUGGCAACAGUAGGGACAGAAGUUCAUAACAAGAAAGGUCUCCAAGCAUUCUGAGUUUUGAAAAGUUUGGAUCCUGCUCUGAACUUUGGAAUUUGGGUCCAUUCUGGAGAGAAGUCAGUCAGUGUACAGGCUAAGUAUAUUUUAUUUGCUUUUCAAACAAAAGAAACUAUAGUUUCCCUUCUCCAUCAUUAAUGGAUACUCAUUUGUUAAUUCUGAGGUGUGCAAAAAUAGAGUUGUUUGAUGGUGACAGUAAGUUUUUUGUUUGUUACACAAAAUCUGUCUUUUUUUAGAUGGCACAUUAUACUAGCUUGUAAUUCAGAAACGGGUGGAAAAGGGUAUAGUAGAUAUAGUAUAGUAUAAGUAUAGUAUAGUAGAUCAUACCAACCUGAUCAUAUCUUUUUAGCAAAAUAAUAAAAACCCCAUUAAAAGUCUUUAACAUUUUGCUUUCAUUUAGUUCUAUGAAAAACCACAAAGGUUUUUCAGUUCCAUGAGAUUUAAGCAUUUGUUUGCUUUUAGUAUGAAAUCUACUACUUGAGGGCUUCUGAAAUAGUGAUUUCCUCCAACUCAAACACAUAGAUACUUAAAUACUGAGACAUUUAAAAAUGGCAGAGAUGUUUUGUUUUGCUGCAGAUGGGUAGUUGUUACAUUGAACAAAUAAUGAAAUAUAACAGUAACAGGAGGUAAAGGGAAUUGUAAGAAAAUUGCAGGCUGAUGACAGCUCUCAGUCCACUGUCAUAAAUAGAUGAUGUAUGUGAGCAAAUCAACAGACACUCACCAACUUAUUUUGUCAAUAACUAUGAACUCUUGGACUCUUAUGUCUCUGGUGUUUGUGAAGACAAUUGGAAUGUCAUAUUUUCUUUAUAAACAUAAGUAACUUUUUUCAUUUUGCAUAGUGUCUUUAAAGAUACUCUGAGCAAUAGUAGAUCAGCUUAUCCACAGCCAUAAGGGAAAAGGGAACUGCAGUCAUCGUGAAGAAGUAUGAGGAUGCCCUAAAAAGACCUAAUGACCACCCAAGUAGACAUCAAAAUCCUCAGUUGCUCACUUUUAACCAUGGACUAUCUUGUUCUCAGAACAAAUACUCUCUCCUUGUUAGAGUUAAGUCUAUGCAUUUUCUGCCCACGGUGCUCUUGAAAAUUUAAAAACGAACCAGCAGUAACAAGGGAUAGGAUAAUUAUCAUAUUACUGGUUCUGGAUUAGCCCAGAAAACUGUGCAUGCUUUGAAACUUCUAACUCUGGGCUUUGUCCUUGUUCAGACCAAGUAGGCUAUGGACUAAGUGCAAAGAAAACCUCGCGAACUUUUAAGUGUUACCCUUGAUUCUCCCCUCAGCAAACCCUCCUCUCAACAUCUCCUGCACAAGCAUCCUAGCUGCCCCCAUCUUUUGGCCUGUUCAAAUGACUGUGCUUGAAAAAGUCAUACCAGAACAGGUGCUAACCACAAUGGUGUGUGAAUAUCUGGAAAUCCAUCACUGCCCAUUAACUGUUUCUUCAGAGUUGGCACUUAGAUAACAGAAACCUUCUAGCUUUAAUUUUGGAGGGUCUCUACAGAGACCAGGAUUGUGCUGCCUUGAGGGCCAGGCCUCUGUGGUUAGGGCUCCAAGAUAAUAUAGAUAAAUUGUCCAUAGGGUAGAGGCUCUUAUAGAGAGAGAUGGAUGCUUUGAAGGUAGCAACCAAGCUAAAACCAAUGUUGCUUUCUCUGGCCCUUCAGCCUGGCCCUUACUGCUCUGAUAGCCCUCUCUUUGAGCUUUUAAAGAGAGGCUUUUUGAGAGCAGCCUGCCCACAUAACAAUUUUCCUGGCUAGAAGGCUGGAGGAAUUCCUGGACAUCAGGAACCACUACCUAGUCUUUCAGCAAAACAAAGUAGUGAUCAAGAUGAUACCUCAUUUUUCUUCGAUUAAAUUCCUCUCCUUAUCUUAAUGCCAAGGAUGUCUCCUCUUCCUCCUCCUGUUUCUCCCCGUAAACUCUGAAGGAGCAGAGAGUGCAUAUUCCGGAUGGGCCUUGUAUAUCUAACCGAAAGGACCCUAGAUUGAGAGAUGGUGUAAUCUAUUUGUCCUCUACAGCUGAGCUGAGACAAAGGCUAAAACCUCCAUGGCCUACUGAGCUCUGGAGUACUCAGAGCAAAGAAGUCCCCACUACCACUGGAGCACAUAUCUUCCAAUGAAGUAGAUGUUGUAAGCUGUUGAAGAUAAGGGGACUUGCCAACUUCCCAUUGGAGAUAAGUGCUGUGAGUCAUUCCAAGGAGGAAUACAAACAGAGAUAAGUCUGAGUGGGGACAGAGGGACCUACCUGGAACACUGUCCAAAGCUUGAGCAUAGGGAAAGUCCUGUACUUUAUAGGGAUGCUGGCAGUGGAUAGCUUGGGUAUGGAGAAAGUCCAAGGAAGAUGUCCAGGAAAGAGAAGAAUUGGGGACGUCUUCAUCACCAACACAAGCAGUAUCCGAUGGCCCCAGCUUAGAGGUUUGUUUAGGCCUCAGGCCAUCCCACCAGUGUCGCAGAAGUAUUUUAAUGGGCUUCAAGUGUGUGGGGACCCACCUGCUAGAACUUCCCUUCCUGCUUCCAACCCCACUAGUCCUACUCACUAUGGGCUUGUCUACGCACAGUUUUGGUACCGCUUUAACUUUGCUGGUUUGAAACUGGCAUAGCUGAAGUGGUACAAUCCCUAAUGUGAUGCAGUUAUACUUGUAUAAAAGGUUCUUUAUCCUGGAAUAGUUUAUUCGCAUAAAGUUUGUAGGGAUAAACUAUACCAGUAUAGUCACCUUUAUACCACUGUAAGAGCCCCACACUCGGAGUUGUAUCACUUCAACUAUUUUGGUUAAAAAAAAAAUGCAUCCCUAAGCAAAAUAGUUGAAUGGGUACAAGAAUUGUGUGUAGACCAUCCCUUAAGCAGAGCCUAAGGCACUCUGAUAGGGUCCAGUAAAACAAGCACAGCAAUCUUCACACCCACCAUGGCAUCUAUGACUGAUGCUGUUAUGGUUUUCUCCCUGUCUUUGUUUUUUCAGCAGUCAUUAUUCAUAUCCUUUCAAGUCACACUGACGUAGGCUUCCAGUCUGGAAACAAUUAAAGGCUACCAAGGCAAUGGCUAGUACAUAAAAACAGACCAGACGCCCAUAAAUGUAUUAGCUUGUCAAACUGCUUGGCUAAAAGUACUACUCCAUCCUGUCCCUCUCCCACCCUGAAGCUGCAGGUCCCCACCCACAGGCACGAAAAGAAACAAGUCGUCCUUUGGAAACUAUGGCUUCUCAAAACUUUAUAUGUCAGCAUAGGCUUUUAAUGUGCUUGAGGUAGUCAGUGGUUUCUAGUUUCUCCCUUGGUGCCCUCCCAAUGUCUGUUUUGGAGGAGGAUAUUUUUGCAGCUGCCAUUAUCUGGGUUGGCAUAGUAGGGAUGAAGUAGAAGAAUAACUUAUCUGCUAGUUAGGUUGCUCACAGUUCCAUAUGCUACCAUUUCUCUGGUACUUGGCUGGAUAUCCUUGUUUCAUUGUUCAGGAGGGCUUAGAUUUUUAAAGGUAUUUAGGUAACUGCAGCACUUAGCAUUGCAAGGCCUAAAUUUCAUUUCAAGGGUAUUUAGGCACUUAGUAGCCAAAAUCACACUGACUGUCAAUGGGAUUUAGGCUCCUGAAUGCCUUAAUCACUUUUUAAAAUGAGUCUUAGGCUCCUAAAUCAGUUAGUCCUUGCAACGCUGAGUGCAACAAUACUGAAAUACCUUUAAAAAUCUGGGCCAAAAAUUCUGUGUAUUGCAGUAUUUGGUUGCAGCAUCCCAUUAAAGGAGAACGAUGACACGCUUUCAGUUUGUUUUUGUUUUCCUAUGUGUUUACUGCAGGAAGGAUUUAAUACCCACUGUCUGGGCUGACAUGUUAUGACAUUAUGAGAAAUCUUCUUAGCAGGGAAAGAAUAAGUGAUGCCAUCUACUGUCACAAUGGAAAUAUGGAAACCGACCCUUAAGCUCAGUUCUUGGUGGAGAAGGGGAGGACGAGCGUAAAAAUAUUACUUUGUGAGUUGCUGGGCUACCACAUGGUCCUGACCCCAAGGCAGCAGUUACAGUACUGGUAAGCAGAAUACGUUUUUUACAUUGGGUCAAUAGAAAUAGCCAGGCUACCUAUUUAUUAGGAAGAACAAAUGUCCCUACAAGUUAUUUUGGACACCAGAAAUGAAUGCUUGUUUCUUAAAAUAACUGUUUCAAAAAGCUGAAACGGAGGUAGAAAGUGUGCUUGGUUUCCUGAUGUCUUCACUGAAGAAAACGCCUCCCUUUUUAUUCCACAGACUGCUCAAUAUCCCUAAUGCCUUAAAAGCAGUUCUCUUCACAUAGACAGAAUUUCUAAUGAACUACACAAGUAAAAAUGCUAUAGACAAACUGGUCUCUAAAGCUGGAAGCCAGGUAUAAUUGUAGAAGAAAAUGUUCUACUUCUGAGUAGAUUUUUAUUUCUAGGAAGCAAGCUUUUUUAUCAGGUGAAACAAGAAGAAAACUGACGCUGCAGGUGUACUAACAAGAUUUUAUAUACAAAGUUUUACAAGAGGACCCAAAUAACAUCCCCAGUUUAACACCACUGACUUCAGUGUGGUUAAUUCAGAGAUGAAUUUGGCCCUAGAUGUCUGUAAUAGGGCUUCACCUCACCUUCCUUCUUUUGAAGGAGGGGUAAAAACAAAAGACCAGAAGAAUGUUUCUGGAAAGAAAAGUGUGUAAACAUAAUUCUCCACCAUACAAGUGGAUGAAGAGGGAAAAAUCCAUAAUAAUCUUUUUUUAAAUUCAUGCCUUUAACUUAACAAGAUGAAAACUCAGAUAAUCUUAAGUUUUCCUUCAGUGAUGUCUUAACUCCUCUUAAAGAGCAAAUCAUAGCUUUUAAAUAAAUGUAACAUUGCCAUUAUAAUAAAAUAUGUUGUAUACGACACACAAGUACUAUACAAGUUAUCUAGUGGUGAGGCUCAUGUCAUAAGGAAUAUUAUGACAUGCCUUCUUUAUUGUAGUUCUAAUUAUCUCAUGAUUUUCCCCUCAACUCUAUACAACAGCUAUGAAAAGAUAAAGGAGCCUUAGCUGUUUCCAUUAGCAUAGAUUGCUCUUAAGGAAAGGUCUAGUCUCUCCAUAGCGCACACAACUCCCACUGGACUUUAUAGGAGUUGGACAAGUGUAUGAUGAGAAUAAACCUUUAAGGCAAGUGUAUGAAGAGAAAAAAAACUUUUAAAAAGCAGCAGUUUCUAAAGAUGGUAGCUGCUGUUAUGCAUCCAUUCAAAUAAAACAGCAGAAUAAAGCACUGUUAGUGGCAUUCAUAUAGUACAGUAUAUAUUGUCAAAUGAAAUUAUAGGAACAAUUCAGAGAAGUAUAUUUCUCCUUUCAUACUCCUGCCACAUUAUUUAGGCUGACUGAUAUUUUUUUUCUGGUAACUGAAUAAUAGAGCUAAAUACACAUGAUGUCAAAGUCUGAGUUUUGCUUUUUGUUACUUUUUUCUUCUUAAAGUAUCCGCUUAUGUUGUACACAGAUUUAUUGGAAAAAAAAAUUCAAAAGUAUAGUUCAUACAAAGAAAAAUUAGACCCAGUUUUCUUUAGUCUAAAUUCAUCUUACUUUUGAAUAUCAAUCAGGUGGUAUUAGUAACACAUGUAAUAUAUUUCUUAACAGUCUUUAAAUGAUGGAUCAUUCUGAGAUGGAAGUGAACCCACUUCUAAGAUGUAUGCUAUGGAGUUUUACUUGAGAAUUAUUUAAAUGAUUUGGAAAGUGGUUUUACUAAACAAAUUUUAAAUACAAGCAGCAUUACAUUGUUCAACAAAACAUGUUUAUGACAGCAAUCACAAAGACCUUGGAAUCACUAUUGUGGAGUCACAGGUCAGACCACCCAGUCAGACAUAUAUACACCCGUGUUGAUUCUUUAAGUUACAAAAGAAAUUAAUCAUCUACUCUGAUCCCCAUCUCUGCCCCCAUCCUCACUCAGCAGUCACUCAUUUAAGACUGUUAUCAGCACGGGGGACAAAAUAUUUAUUUUAAAUUUCAGCUACAUGUGCUUUAAAAAUGCAAGUAGGGAAUAUUAACUGUACAGUGGCAGACUUCUUGUGCUGAUCAGUUAUGCUUUUACCAAUGUCUUUUUCCCCCAGCGUAGUCCAUCAUUCAAAAUGAGGUGGAGCUUGACUUUUUUGAUCUCUUAAUCAUGCUUGGAUGAAACUCAGUGUGGCGACGGGCAUGCUUUGUCAGGUGAUCGCUCCUCAUGAACCGCUUCUCACAGAGAGGACACCUGAACUGCUUUUCACCAGUGUGGGUUCUGUAGUGUCGAGUCAGCUCAUCUGACCGAGAGAACUUUUUAAGGCAAUCGGGCCAUGUACACGGGAAUGGUCGCUCUCCUGUAGGAAGGUUUGGCAGCUCUGUCAGUUUAUGAAUGUGAGGAUGGUGCAGUAUUGCAGUGCAGUGAACUGAAGGUGAAUAUACUCGCCCACAGUGAUCCUAAUGGUUACAUGUAUAAACAGACAAAAUCAGGUUAGGAAGAAAUGUACCAAGUGUUCUCCAAUACCAAGGCACAAUAGGGUGCAAUAACUCUAAUAUUAGAGUCAGCUCUUCCAGUAUGUCCUCUGCUGGCAACAGGAGUUACAUUCUUGGUGUGAAAGGAUAAACUAAAGCAGUUGAGAUAAGGCCAAUUUGUUGUUCUCUGAUUUCCCUUCUAAAUGUGCUUUUCCUUGCUUUGAUGGGGUUCUGUGACCAUUAACGCUUUUUGGUAGUUUUCCAAAUGUGAAAUUUAACAAAUACUUAAUUCUCAUAAAUAAAUAAAUAAAUAAAUAAAUACAAAAAAGCAUAUUGAAAAUAAGAGUGAUUUUUGCCUAACUUGCUCACCCUCCUAGCCUUUCAAGCAAUGUAAUCAAAUUUUAUCAAAUAUUACAAACACUUUUCUCCUGGAUAGAGAACAUGUCCAUUCAGUAACAAUACAAGUUUUCACAUUUUUAUAAAUCCCUGAGAAGAAUGGUUUCACACAUUUUUAUCAAGAUGCCCUUUGAGCACUGCUAUCUGAUCUUCAGCCAUAUUAUAAAUGCACUACCUGUGUAACGUAUACUGAAUAAGGAGCUUAAAAAUGUUAGAUUUCAGAUUUCCAUUUGAAACUUAAAAGCACCAAGAAAAUGCUCCAAACUUUGCCCAUUAAUAUACACAUCUGUACUGUCCGACAGACUAGGGAUAGUUCAGAAAAUAAAUGGGAAAGUAAUGCAGUCAGGAGCAGCCUAAACUGAUAAGGGGCCUGGAUUCACAAUGCAGUUUGUGUUGCAGCAUCAAUCAGUUGUGUGUCUGAUGUGACAGAAAUGCUGCUCCCUGCCUUCCCUCUGGACAGUAGAACUCAGAUUUCUGAUUCCAUGUCUUCGCCCUUAACCUGUUGCUGAAUAUUACCAAAGGCAAAAUGUCAAAGGAGGAGUUCAAGGGCAUAGCUUCUGUUAUAUUGUUACAAAACUCUUGCACUAUUGGAUUGGUUCUGACUCACAUAUUGACAUGGGUUGCUCUAAGGCCCUAUUGAGGAGGCAGAGAACGUAUAUACCUCAUGCACACUCAAGGGGAUCUAUAUCUUCCAAGCACCUAUAAUACAGGAAAAUCCUUGUUCAUUAUGAAUAUUUAAUAUGCCCAAGCAUUUACAGCCAAAUCUUAGGAGCAAGUGCGUCUGCUACAUGGAGCACUCAGGGCCUCUAGUCUGCCUGGGUUCCCUAACUGAGUAGGCUUCUACUAAUCCUGUAACAGACAGCCUACAGAAUUAGCCUCCUGGUACCUAUGCUGCUGCCCAUUUCCUCUCUUGCCACAUGGGGGAGACCAUCACCACCAAUUGCCAUUUGUCCAAUUACUGGCUUUCUUUCAUCCUCCUUGUUUACACCCUCCUUUCACCUUCUAUUUUUUUUAUUAAAAACUUUAAAAAGCUAUAAACCCCAGCUCUACCCUCAUUCAAAAUAUAAAUUGGUGACAAAGAGACUUCUUCCAAGCUAAUGCGCUGUACUACUCUAAAUCAACCAUCCACCCAUUUCCACCUGGCCUCUCCACUGCACCAGUGACUUCAGUCUCGACUGCCCCUCUGUCUGCAACUGUAUUGCCUAUCGUUCUGUACCUUCUAUGCUAUUCCCUGUGCAUGGAAUAGCCUUAGAGUUCAUUUGGAAGACCCAUAUCCUUGCCACAUUCAAGUCUCUCCUGAAGACCCACCUUUAUCAUGCUCAUGGGAAAGCUGCCACUGACAACAACAACUGAGUAGUAGUUUGGGUAUAAUUUUACAUGUCCUAUUUUCAUUAUAUUUGUAUACACAUUCUAAACAUAAUUGUAUAUGUAUUGCAUCCUUCCCCUAUCCUCAGGACAGAGAGAGAAACAGUCUUUAAAUUGCGAGUUCCUUGAGGAACGUGGCCAGGCCCCCUCUGCUUUUUGGAAAGUUCCAAGCACUUCAUAGGUGCUACCAGAAAUAAUUUAUAAUAGUAAUCUUGCUCUUACUAAUGUUUCAUUCCAAAACUCAGACAUCAUUAAAAUUAAAUAUUAAUUUUCCAGCUAGUUUUGAGCAGGAGACAUGAGGCAGGCCAUAGGUAACCAAUCAUCAGAUGAGGGGCUGGUUUUGAACGAGCAGUUAAGGAGAUAAAAGAAAUCUCUGACAAUGCAGUCCUCUUCUUCUUGUAACUUAGUUUGGUACUUCAUCCCUCAUCUUCUAUCAGCUUGAACAAGAUGUGCCAGUGUUUUUUUUAGUUUCACACCAAUACAACGUACAUGAGUGGUCACUAAACGUUUUGAACUUGCUUAGUUGCUAUGCAUGGGUGAAACGGGAUAUUAAUAAAAGACAGACCAUGUGUACAAUGAGUAGACAUUAUGAAACCAUUUUUCAAGAUAGAGAGAAUAAGAUAAACAUUAAAAAUUUAAGAUGGCAGUAACUAUUGAUGAGCAUCUACUUUGAGUGCUAAAGGCUGCAAAGGCAGUGAGAAAUCAAAUCUCUGCCCUGGAAAGCAAGUUCACAUUAAGAAAUGCCAGGUUGAUCUUAAGGGUUCAUGAAACCAUGGAGAUGAAUGGCUUUUUUUUUUUUUGUUUAAAUGAAUGAAUGAAGGAAGGAAUCACUUUAGAUAGUUAACACUAUGUGUAGUCAUAUAUGUCCCUGGCCAAUGCAAUCAAGAAAUACCUCUCUGUGGCUAUGGAAUGUAUCACUCUUGGAAUGACUUUAAAUCCGGCAUGUGUAUUUUACAUUUAUGUGUCGAAUUCAAGAAUCCUAUUUGCCCAGGGUACUGUCUUGAUCUCCCUUAGUGACUUAUCUGUUUUGUUCCCCUUCCAAAGAUGGCACUGGAGUAAUCCUUGAUUUAUAGGUACAGAUUUUGGGUGAACUGUGGAGGCUACACCCAGCUUUUUCUGUUCUCCCAUUCAUGAAGUAAUUCUCUUGAUGAGGAGUAUCAUUUACUAUUCCAUCAGCUAAAGUUAACUCUAGUCACACCGGAAAGUGCUGAGAGUUUGUUACUCAAGAACAUAGCUGAAUAUUUGUGGUGUUAUUUAAUCACCAAAAACUGCAGUACACUGUUAUUAACAUUAACCUUUACAGUGGAGUCGCAUCAUAUGCGCAUUUAACUUACGUGAAUUCAACUAUACGCACUCUGCCAAAAAAAAAAAAAAAAAACAAAAAAAACUCCUCGCGGUGAUGGAGUACUGUACAGGAGUCGACGGGAGAGUGCUCAGGGGUCGAUUUAUCGCGUCUAGACUAGAUGCGAUAAAUUGACCCCCACUGGAUCGAUUGCUGCCCGCCGGUCCGGUGAGCAUCUUGCUGCGCUGUGAUUCUAGUGUUUAAAGAUAUGUAUUUUUCGUACAACAUGGCCCCUAAACGCAAGCCAACUACUUCAUCUGAUGCUCAACCAAAGAAACAGUGAUCUGUUCCAAUGCUGGAGGAAAAACUGGCUGUGUUGGACUUAUUGAGAGACGCUGUCUGUCUCCAAUGUGGCGCGUAAAUACGGCCGCAACGAAUUUAGCAUUCGUGCCAUCAAGAUUUGAGAGAGAGAAAUUCGUAAAGCCGUGGCAUCAAUUGCACCAAUAACUGCUAAGGUGACGAGCCAGGUGUGUGAUAAGACUUUUUAGUGAACACUGAAAAGGCAUUAAACUUAUGGCUGGAAGACAUGAACCAUAAACGUGUGCCUAUCGAUGGCAUCACAUUGCUAGAAAAGGCUCUUAGCCUCUAGGCGCUAUUCAAACUUCCCGCCGAAGAGGGACAGCCUUCUGAUAAGGAAUUCAAAGCCAGCCAAGGUUGGCUUAACAGUUUAAGGAACCGCUUCAACCUCAAAAACGUGCAGACUACUGGUGAAGCUGCAUCUGCCAAUGAAGAGGCAGCAAAAGCCUACCCCGAACAAUUAAAGAAAAUCAUAGAAGAAAAGGGCUAUCUUCUGGAACAAGUUUUUAAUGCUGAUGAGACUGGGCUCUUCUGGGAAAAAAAAUUCCCAACUGCACUUACACUUCAACAUCAGAAAGACAAGCCGCUGGCUUCAAAACAGCUAAAGACUGUAUGACUGUGUUGUUUUGUGGCAAUACAGCUGGGCAUUUAAUAAAGCCAGGCUUGCUCUACAGGGCUGCAAAUCCCCGUGCCCUAAAACGCAAGAACAAAACUCUGCCUGUGUUCUGGCAAUCAAAUAAAAAAGCUUGGGUGAGGGCAGCAUUAUUUCUGGAUUGGUUCACAAGUGUUUCAUUCUGGAGGUCAAGUGGUUCCUCGAAGAGAAAGGACUUGACUUUAAAGCAUUGCUGAUCAUAGACAAUGCUCCUGGCCAUCCUGAAGCACUCUGGUUUGUGCAUAACGACGUUGAAGUAGUCUUUCUCCCUUUUUUAUUCUUUCAUUCUUCCGUCUCUCUCUUUUUGACUAUACGCGAUUUUUGCCUCAUGCGCUGACUUUAAAACUUACUUGAUAUACAAUACUGCUGAUAGGAAAUUGGAAGCAAAGUGGAAUAGGGUUUACCUAGGCCACAUAUGAAGUGGAUACCCAUGGAAAUCUAGUACAGUGGAGUCGUAUCUUAUGCGGGGGUUAAGUUCUAAAGUGUCGUAUGUUAAUUUGCAUGUCAACACGCAAAAUGCUAUUCCAGUUGAUGUCUACUUCAGAAUAGGAUGGAUACCUGAGCUCUGGGAACAAACUGGAAAUGAUACUGUCAUUUCCUCUGUCUUUUGCAAGCCAGAAAUUUGCAAAUCUUCACCUACAUUUAGCUACCAUAGUUCUAAGUAUUGGAUCUGAAACGGUUGGGCAGAUACCACACAGGCCGUAGGGUAGGUUAAAAGACAGAGUUUAAAUAAAACACCUAGUUUUAUGAUAAAUGUCUUUCCCUUCUUCUCAAGUUUCUAUCUGUAGCUAUGGGCUGGAAGUGAGCAAAUGGAAUGAUCUUUCUCCCACAAAUUUCACUUGUCGAGUUAACUUGACUUGUUCACUUAAAAAUCAGGACAACAUUCUAUCCACAAAGUUCUUUACUAGGAAGAUAUAAAUGGAAGUUCAGGUGGACUUUUCCUUCUCCAUAAGGUUCUAUGGAAUGACUACCAACCCAACAGGAUGAGCAUGACUGCAUUCCUUUCCUUGCUCCCACAGGCAAUCAGAGAGGUUUCUUAAUUUACCAUAGGAAUUGCUGUUGAAUAACACACAACCAUUCUUCUUGUUCACCUGCCCUCCCUGAGCUAAGCAUGCUGCUAUAUUAGCCCUUCAGCAUGGAGACCACAAGACAGGUAAUCAAACCCAGGUCUUCCUCAUUUUAAUGCAAAGUAGUACAGUAUUGCUAGGCCAAAAGGAAAGCCUGUUUAAUGGGAGUUUAACUGUGACUCAGAUAUAGCCAUUUUCUUUCAUAAAUCUGCUCUUAACUAUUGCUCAAACUAUUGCAGCGGUGCCCUGUGGUAUAUCUGCCGGUGAU